UACGUAGGGUGCAAGCGUUAAUCGGAAUUACUGGGCGUAAAGCGUGCGCAGGCGGCUUUGCAAGACAGAUGUGAAAUCCCCGGGCUUAACCUGGGAACUGCAUUUGUGACUGCAUGGCUGGAGUGCGGCAGAGGGGGGAUGGAAUUCCGCGUGUAGCAGUGAAAUGCGUAGAUAUGCGGAGGAACACCGAUGGCGAAGGCAAUCCCCUGGGCCUGCACUGACGCUCAUGCACGAAAGCGUGGGGAGCGAAACAGG
rnacentral:rRNA from 1 species